GCACAGAAUCAGCACGGCAGGAAUUAGUGGGAAAGCAGAAAAGUGCUGCCUGCUUCUUGGGAAGCACUGCUGUUGUACUUUCCAGUGAUUACAUCUUCAGAAAAUUUUAUUAGUAGUAUGUUUACUAUUGCAGAUCAUGCAAAUAUCCUGAAAAUGAAGUGCUUGUUAGAUGACCUGACUUUGCAAAUCUUAUCUCAGAAUAUGAUAAGAAAGGCUUUGGUUUUGCCCUUCCUUACAUAUACAUAUGCUACACUUUCUGAGAUGAAAGAAGUGAAGAAGAACAAACCUUUCAGAUGGAGUGUGUGUGCAUAUGUCCAGCGUACUUGCAGAGGAAACAACCAGAUCGCUGGCACAGCUCCUUUGUCAGGAAACUCACUAAGAAGCAUCACAUAAGGCAUCUCUUCUCCUGUGCACAAAAAGGCCCUAAAAAGUGGAAGAACUUAGUCAUAUGUGUGAACCAUGAACCCUUCUCAAACACUAACACACUCCUGAAUGGGGGUGUGUGUGUGUGUGUGUGGAGUAUCUAAGGUGAUAAUAUUUAAAAUAAAAAAUAGAAUUUGAAAGUAAAAGUACCUGUCAGCGUCAGACUAACAGGACUUAAGCAUCUGUUUCUUUGGAGAUGAUGCGUUGAUAUCUGGCUCAUGACUGUUUCUGCAAUAUUAAAAU